rnacentral:tRNA from 1 species
CGCAGGGUAGAGCAGUCCGGUAGCUCGUCGGGCCCAUAACCCGGAGGUCGCAUAGUUCAAAUCUUGCCCCUGCAACCA